rnacentral:rRNA from 1 species
GCUGAAGCCCUCCUGGGUGGAUUGAGCGGGGAACGGGUGAGUAACACGUGGGUAAUCUGCCCUGCACUCUGGGAUAAGCCCGGGAAACUGGGUCUAAUACCGGAUACGACUACCUUGGGCAUCCAGGGUGGUGGAAAGUUCCGGCGGUGCAGGAUGAACCCGCGGCCUAUCAGCUUGUUGGUGGGGUAAUGGCCUACCAAGGCGACGACGGGUAGCCGGCCUGAGAGGGCGACCGGCCACACUGGGACUGAGACACGGCCCAGACUCCUACGGGAGGCAGCAGUGGGGAAUAUUGCGCAAUGGGCGAAAGCCUGACGCAGCGACGCCGCGUGAGGGAUGACGGCCUUCGGGUUGUAAACCUCUUUCAGCAGGGACGAAGCGUAAGUGACGGUACCUGCAGAAGAAGCACCGGCCAACUACGUGCCAGCAGCCGCGGUAAUACGUAGGGUGCGAGCGUUGUCCGGAAUUAUUGGGCGUAAAGAGCUCGUAGGCGGUUUGUUGCGUCGGCCGUGAAAACUCAGGGCUUAACUCUGAGCCUGCGGUCGAUACGGGCAGACUUGAGUUCGGUAGGGGAGACUGGAAUUCCUGGUGUAGCGGUGAAAUGCGCAGAUAUCAGGAGGAACACCGGUUGCGAAGGCGGGGUCUCUGGGCCGAUACUGACGCUGAGGAGCGAAAGCGUG